CAGCAGCCGCCGCGGUAAUACAGAGGGUGCGAGCGUUAAUCGGAUUUACUGGGCGUAAAGCGUGCGUAGGCGGCUUUUUAAGUCGGAUGUGAAAUCCCUGAGCUUAACUUAGGAAUUGCAUUCGAUACUGGGAAGCUAGAGUAUGGGAGAGGAUGGUAGAAUUCCAGGUGUAGCGGUGAAAUGCGUAGAGAUCUGGAGGAAUACCGAUGGCGAAGGCAGCCAUCUGGCCUAAUACUGACGCUGAGGUACGAAAGCAUGGGGAGCAAACAGGAUUAGAUACCCCGGUAGUCCCUGUCUCUUAUAC
rnacentral:rRNA from 1 species